rnacentral:rRNA from 1 species
CAAUAGCGUAUAUUAAAGUUGUUGCAGUUAAAAAGCUCGUGGUUGGAUUUGUGGCGUACGGUGUGUUCCGGGCACUUGUUGUCUGAGUAACCUGCUGUUGCCAUCCUUGGGUGGAACCUGUGUGGCAUUAGGUUGUCGUGCAGGGGAUGCCCAUCAUUUACUGUGAAAAAAUUAGAGUGUUCAAAGCAGGCUUAUGCCGUUGAAUAUAUUAGCACGGAAUAAUGAGAUAGGACUUUUUUGCUAUUUUGUUGGUUUGCGCAAAGAGGUAAUGAUUAAUAGGGACAGUCGGGGGUAUUCGUAUUCCAUUGUCAGAGGUGAAAUUCUUGGAUUUUUGGAAGACGAACUACUGCGAAAGCAUUUACCAAGGAUGUUUUCAUUAA